GACAGAGGGUGCAAACGUUGUUCGGAAUUACUGGGCGUAAGCGCGUGUAGGCUGCUCUGCAAGUCGGAUGUGAAAGCCCUGGGCUCAACCUAGGAAGUGCAUUCGAAACUGCAGAGCUGGAGUCCUGGAGAGGAAGGCGGAAUUCUCGGUGUAGAGGUGAAAUUCGUAGAUAUCGAGAGGAACACCGGUGGCGAAGGCGGCCUUCUGGACAGUGACUGACGCUGAGGUGCGAAAGCGUGGGGAGCAAACAGG
rnacentral:rRNA from 1 species